rnacentral:rRNA from 1 species
AUUGAACGCUGGCGGCAGGCCUAACACAUGCAAGUCGAGCGAGCGGCGGACGGGUGAGUAAUGUAUGGGGACUGCCCGAUAGAGGGGGCUAACUCCUGGGAACGGUAGCUAAUACCGCAUACUAUCGGAUCACCCAUAUUGGAUUAGAGAGUAGGUGAGGUAAUGGCUCACCUAGGCGACGAUCCCUAGCUGGUCUGAGAGGAUGAUCAGCCACACUUGUACGUCGACACGGCCCAGACUCCUACGGAGGCAGCAGUGGGGAAUAUUGCACAAUGGGCGCAAGCCUGAUGCAGCCAUGCCGCGUGUAUGAAGAAGGCCAUAGGGUUGUAAAGUACUUUCAGUCGGGAGGCGUUACCGACAGAAGAAGCACCGGCUAACUCCGUGCCAGCCGCCGCGGUAAUUC